rnacentral:rRNA from 1 species
GAGACCGGCGCACGGGUGAGUACCGCGUAUGCAAUCUACCUUUUGCUGGGGGAUAGCCCGAAGAAAUUUGGAUUAAUACCCCAUGGUAUACAGUUUUGGCAUCGGAAUUGUAUUAAAGCUGAGGCGGCAAAAGAUGAGCAUGCGUUCCAUUAGCUGGUUGGUAUGGUAACGGCAUACCAAGGCUACGAUGGAUCGGGGUCCUGAGAGGGAGAUCCCCCACACUGGAACUGAGACACGGACCAGACUCCUACGGGAGGCAGCAGUGAGGAAUAUUGGACAAUGGGCGGGAGCCUGAUCCAGCCAUGCCGCGUGCAGGAAGACUGCCCUAUGGGUUGUAAACUGCUUUUCUACGAGAAGAAUAAGGGCUACGUGUAGCUUGAUGACGGUAUCGUAGGAAUAAGCACCGGCUAACUCCGUGCCAGCAGCCGCGGUAAUACGGAGGGUGCAAGCGUUAUCCGGAAUCAUUGGGUUUAAAGGGUCCGUAGGCGGAUGGAUAAGUCAGUGGUGAAAGUUUGCCGCUUAACGGUAAAAUUGCCUCU